UGCUGAGAUUUUCCUCGGCAGUUAACUGCAGCCGGUUUUACUAAACUUCGGCAGUUAACUGCCGAAGAGCAU
rfam:Medicago truncatula strain A17 chromosome 5, whole genome shotgun sequence.